ensembl:lncRNA
AGAUCUCCAAGACAUUCCAGGUCCCCUGAGCGAAACAAGAGGGACAGAGAAAGAGAUCGAGAACGUGAAAAGGAUCGAGAAAAGGAGCGAGUGAAAGAAAAACCCCAGAGAGGGCGGCACGAUUCCUCGUCCCCGUCUCCACCCCCAAAACAACAGCGGGACAGAAGAGCACGGAGCGAGGAGCGGGACAGAGAAAAGGCCCCUCAAAGAAAAAGACACGAUUCCUCAUCUCAUUCUCCAUCUCCUAAACGUCAGAAAGACAGGAGGCAGAGGAGUGUAGAGAAGGAGCGCGAGGAUGAGAGGAGGAAGAAGGACAAAUCACAAAAACGGCAUGAUUCGUCAUCAUCCCCAUCACCUUCGCCACAGAAGGACAGAGCACGGAGAGAACAUAGCAGAGAAAAAGACAAAGGGUCUUCCCUCGCGGCUCCUUCAGACAGACACCGGGAGAGAGACGGAGGAAGAGACAGAGAUGGAGGAAGAGAGACAGACAGACAGAAGGACAGAGAUAGAGACACUGCACCCAGUCGGAAAGACGAUAGAACGAGAGAGAGCGAUAAAGGUAAAGAAAGGGGCCGAAACCACUCCAGUGACUCCACCUCGCCUGCCAGGCGCUCACCAUACUCAAACAGAAGGCAAAAAGAGACAGAGCGCGAGAGAGAACGAGUUAAGGAAAGAGAGCGGGAAGAGCAGAGAGAAAAGGAGCGAGCGAGGGAGAGGGAACGGGAGGAAGCAAGGAGGCAAGAGGAGAGGAGAAAAGAGCGAGAGAAUGACAGAGAAAAAGAGAGAGAAGUGUCCAGGUCCUCCUACGACAAACACUCUGAAGAGCGACGCUCUGGAAGAGACAGUGAGGCUGAAAGGAGGACAGACAGAGAAAAGGCAGUCGCAGAGACGGAAAGAAAGGAGAAAGGGAUAAGGGAAGGGGAUGACAAGCUGGGAAGAAUGAAGGAAAAGAGCCCGCAGGAGAAGGAGAGGAAGAAACAAUCGACGCAAGAGAAAGAGCGGGAAAUAGACAAGCCAGAGAAGAAAAGCAAACCCAAGGCUACAAGCAGCAGUAGCAGCAGCAGCAGCAGUAGCAGCAGUAGUGAUAGUAGUGAUAGUGACAGUGACAGUUCAUCCUCAUCAUCCUCCUCUUCUUCUUCUUCCUCAUCUUCAUCAUCGUCUUCAUCAUCUAACGACGAAACGGAGAAAAAGAAGGAUGUUUCAAGCGAAAACAGCGGCUAUGGUACGCUGGUGCCCCAUGCCCUCAUAGCUCAGGCUGUGGCUCGGAGGGAAAAGGAGAAAGAAGGAAGUGAUGGGGAUAAAGAGAGAGGGAAGGACAGAUACACUCCAACAGUGCAGGAAAGCGUGUCGGCUCAACAGGACCAUGCUUCUUUCAGUAGAGAAGAGGAAAGGGACAAGAGAAGCAGAGAGCCAGACAGGGAGAGAAGGCCAGUGUCGUCAAAUUCCCCUCCGAGACCAGCUCAGAGGGAUCGAGGAGCAGAGAAAGGGAGGGAUCGAGGUAAUGAGAGAUACACGCCCACAGAAAGCUCCAGCCCUCCUCGGUCACCUCCAGUACAAAGCAGAAACAGAGAACGAGGCAGGUACAGUCCUCAACCGACCACCAGGACCCAAAGCAAAGAACCUGAAAGGCACAGAGACUACAAGAACCGGUACACUCCUUCAGAGCUCGAACGUGAAACGGAUCGCUUUUCGCCCAGCAGAGACAGGAACCGACAGAGUGAAAGAAGAACGCCGCUUUCACCAAAGGCUAGAAGGAGGGAUGACGAAUCCCAGAUUAAACGAGCGUCACCCCCUUCCCGUUCCCCUGCUCGCCACACGCCGCCCCGGCAGUAUCAGGAGCCCCCACGCUCCCCCAGCCCAAGACGGAGGGGCAGGAGACCCUCACCAUCCCGUGUCUCGCCUCGCUCACGCCGGGAGAACAGCCGGGAGCGACUCAGAGAGAGGGAGAGAGAUAGAGGGAGGGCAGGAGACAGGGAGAGAGAGCGAGAGCGCUCCAGAGAGAGGAAGACGAGAAGCAGCAGGUCUCGAAGCCCACGUAGACGAAGCCCCCCGUACAGGUCACGUCGUUCACCUUCUCCCGCCCACUGGCGUAGAAGCAGCCGGUCGUGGUCCAGAGAACAAGAGCGAGAAAGAGAGAGGGAGAAGGAAAGAGAGAGGGAGAAAACCCGUGAGCAAGAGAAGGAGCGUGAGCAGCAGAGAGAGCGGGAAAGAGAACGAGAAAAAGAGAGAGAAAAGAAAGCAAAAUCACCCCCACGCCGCUCUCCAUCUUCCUCCUCCACAUCAUCCUCCUCCUCUAGUUCAUCCUCCUCAUCCUCACCGUCUCCUCAGAGGAAGCUGACCGGAGAGAAAGGGAUGAAUCCUAAUUCACAGAAGGACAGAAAAGAGAUUAUUGAGUCAGAUAAAAGGUACAGGUCUCGAUCAACUUCUCCCCCUCAAACUCAAGAUACACGCUGCCCUCCGAACCAGUCUGGCCGCUCAAGAGACCAACUUCAGAGAUCCAGGUCACCAGCUGUUAGCCAAUCAGAGACAAGAGAAGCAUCAAGGGGGGAGAGAUCUAGAGGCCAAUCACCAGCAGCUUCAAACCAAAGGCAACCAAUCAGAGGAGAGAACACAGUGAAUGGAAGACCAGAGAAGGAUACCGCAGCAGAGCGGAAGAACAGCAGGAGCAGCUCCAGCUCAUCUUCUUCCUCGUCCUCUUCAUCGACAUCAUCUUCGUCAGAGAGCUCUGACUCUGAGACAAAGAAAGCGAAAGGGCCUGAUGAAGCAGCAAGUCAACACUCUUCCUCAUCAGAAAGUGAGAAAGAAGAGAAGAAAAGCCCACCUCGUCGGCCGAGAGUUCCAGCCGAUUCGCUGAGAGACUCCAGGUCACUCAGCUAUUCUCCUCCUGCCAGGCAGCGCAGGACUGCCCGUUCCCCUCCCCCUCGAAGGAGGUCCAGAAGCCGAUCUCCCAACAACAGGAGGAGAAAAUGAAGAAAACGGUUGCAUCUAACUGUACAUCAGCUUCCUUUGUAAUCCCCACAACCCACCCCCCGCUCUUGGUUCUUUUCCCCCGUCCCCACCCGGAGUACCACAUGAUGCUUUAAGAAGAUGUAAAGCAGAAGCGGAUGCUUCAUUAAUUUUGGCGACACAUGAGCCGCGAACUGGAGGAAACAUCUCAGAGAUCCCUGUUUUUUUGGCGUUUGUUUUGACUUUUAUUAUGGUGUAAUUCAAAUGCAAGCAGAGAGAGAAGUAGAGCCACCUAUGUGUCACUUACUGUUCUGUGCCACUAGACGCCGAACAAAGUUUUUCCCAUCACACGUCACAAACACAAGAGACCAGAGCUUCUCUCUGCCCUGCUGUUCUGAAUGUAGAUAAACACUUGUAAUUGGUAUCUGAAUGGACAGUGUCCUGCUUACAUGUCUGUGAGUAGACCCUAAUCUUUUUGUUUCUCUUUGUGCAGAAAAAAAUGAAUAAAAAGAGGUUGUAUCUUCCUUUGUAGACUUUUUUUUCCCCAGUUAGUUAUGCUGUGAGAUGCGUUGAGAUCUCCUAUUAUUUAGCCUUCUGCAUUUACACGCCUACAGC